rnacentral:rRNA from 1 species
UACAGAGGUCUCAAGCGUUGUUCGGAUUCAUUGGGCGUAAAGGGUGCGUAGGCGGCGCGGUAAGUCGGGUGUGAAAUCUCGGAGCUUAACUCGGAAAGGUCAACUGAUACUGUGCGACUAGAGUGCAGAAGGGGCAACUGGAAUUCUCGGUGUAGCGGUGAAAUGCGUAGAUAUCGAGAGGAACACCUGGCGGCGAAGGCGGGUUGCUGGGCUGACACUGACGCUGAUGCGCGAAAGCCAGGGGAGCGAACGGG